rnacentral:rRNA from 1 species
AUGAGGCUAAAGCUCGGGUAUGCAAAGCUGAAUGUUGAUGCAAGUUUCGAUGUUGAUUCGUUUGUAGGUUCAGUUGGAGCAGUACUAGGAGAGUACACCGAAAAAUUCAUGGUUGCUGCUAAGGUAAGGAUUGAAACAUGUCUUGAUUCUUUCACUGCUGAAGCUGUAGCAGUGAGAUUUGAUAUAAAUCUGGCCCGUACAAUUAGCUGCAGUAAGACCGAGAUCAGCUCGAAUAGUUUGGAGGUGGUCUCAGUAUUGAAGAAGGGCUACUCUUCUUCAGUGGCAAGUGCUAUUUUUGACGGCUGCUACUUUAUGUCUUUAGAUUUUAAUCAUGUCAUCUAUGAGCAUUGUAAUAGUGAGAACCAUAUGAUGGCUCAUGAAUUGUCUAGAAUAGCCGGAUUCUCUCCUCCUAGUGUUUGGUUGGAAUCACCUCCUAUUGAGGUGAUACCUUUGAUUGUAAACGACAACUCUUGUGACGAUUGA